rnacentral:ncRNA from 1 species
GUAAACUCGAUGAGCAAGAAGAGUAAGCAGGAUUUUUCUGUUACAGAGAACCGGGAAUGGUGUGAACCGGUACAGAAAUACCUGCCGAAUGGCCUUGCGAGAGGCAGCCUGAAAUAAUAGUAGGGCUUGCCCGGGAUUCCGCCGUUAAAAGGAUAGGGUAUAACGAAACGUUUUUUGGUUUCCUGUACCUGAAGAGAGGGAGUCUAAAGGCUCCAAUAUGAGGUGGCACCGCGGUCCAAUCGUAAUCGUCCUCUAU